UCGGAUAAUUGUAUAGCAUAUAAGCACGGAUAUCGUUCCACAAAGAUCGAAUUGAUUCUAAAAGUCUUACUAAUUAAAUUGAAACAAGUUAUAGUUGAGAAACUUUAACAAAAAAAAAGAUAGAUAUGAUUUGAAUUAAACUGAAAUGAAAUACAACUUAAAAAAAAGCAUAAAAUAAUAAGAUUAAAAUAUAAGAAAAGAAAACCUAAGGCAUCCGAAUUCACCGUAACCAAUUCUACCUAAUUCCCUUAAUAUGUUAUGCUCAAGUAGUUCCCCAAUAUUGAUGAUCGAUUUUCCCUAAAUUAUUCGACGGCCAUGACAUCUGGUUACAUCAAAAGUAUCCUUACAUAUUAACCCUCUAUGACAUCUAGAUGAAUUUAAACAAGUAAGAACCCAUUAAGCACUAAGGAAAUUGUUUGAAAAAUCACACAAAUCCUAAUUGUAUGGCAUCUACAAAUAGGUGUUUAUGGUAUCAAUUGCAAGAAGCUAAACCCAAGUUAAGUAUGACAUCUACUCUAACUUGCAUCAAAUCAACUUAAUUUAAACCUAGAUGAUGAUCAAGCAUCUGAAUAAAAGUCAAGUGCAUUACGAAUAGCAAAAGAUACUUAAUAAAGAUGAAAAACUUGAUAAUAACAAUGCCACAAGGCAAUUAAGUAUUCAUGAUCAGGCUACAUCUUAGCCCUAGAAAAGAAAAGAAACUAGAAAAGCUCUUCUCUCUUUCCUUCCUUGCCGCAACCCCCUAUCUAAAAUAUGAUUUUUGGUUCUAGUUAUGGUGGCUCUCUAACUUAAUUAAGGAGAAGUAACCUCCUUGUAUAAAACCCACGGCAAGAAGGUGUUCAAGAAAGAAAAAUAACAAUUAAAACCCCACUAAAAUCCUAUCACUAAUGGACUUUAAGUCCUUAUUAAAGAAAAGGAGAAAUAAACGGAAAUAAUAAAAACUAGAAAUUGAGUUCUCUCCUAAAGUCCAUUGAAUAGCAUUCUCAUGUCUAUUUGAUUCCAAAACCGCUUGGUUUCAUCUUCUUGUUGUAAUGCACAUGUCUUCACGCAACUAGUUAGCCUCGUGCUCCACUGGAAUUACUCUACACACCCAAAAAGCUCAUGCACAUGUCUUCGCGAAACUAGUUAGCUUCGUACUCCACUGGAAUUACUUUACACACCCAAAAAGCUCAUUUUUCACUUCAUUUCUGCAUAACUUUAGUAUUGAAUACCUAUAAAUUAAAACAAUAUAAAUUAGCAUAUAUACAAAAUUCAAAGGAAGAAUAUGAUAAAAAUAUGCACACAUCAGGAGGAGGAUAUGGGGUCGCUGGGGUCCAUGGAGCUAUGGCAGAUCAGCCAUGGCAUCUAACAGAAUGACAAAGAAGAUGAAAGGUGUUUGGUUAUGAGUUUAAAAUGAUAAUUGAGUGUUUGGUUAGUAAGAUAGCAAAUAUUGGGAUAAAGUUUUGAAUUACACAUGUUGUAAUAUUAUUGGGCCACAUUAGAGGUGAAUAAAUUUGGGUACUCUCCAUUGAGUAUCCAAGUAUUGUCCAUAUUAAUAUAGUCUGAAUUUAAUGUUAAGCCAAUAUUUAAUGUUCAGACGAUAUUUAACAGCAUUUGGUUCGAAAAAUUUGGUUUCUCUAGGCCUAAUUUAAGGCUCAACCAAUACUUAAUAUAGGCUGAAUUUAAUGAUCAGCCAAAAUAUAAUAUAGGCCGAAUUUAAGGUUGCUU
rnacentral:lncRNA from 1 species